rnacentral:rRNA from 1 species
GUCUUUAUGGGUGUGCGAUAGCUUCCCUUCCGCUCCUCCUCCCGUCGUCUUUCGGUCUUUGUGGUAAGUUAGACGAUAACAAGGGUGGAGCGGCCGGCGGCGGCGGCGGUGGGAUUGACACGGCUCGAGAGCGGUCUUAGUGUAUGUACUCGAGGUGCCGACGACGCCGCGGUGGUCGGUCCGCGUGCGCGUCGGCCGGCGGCAGACGGAGCAGGGCGUCCAGACUACUGGGGAGGAGGCGGCGGUUGCCUUUACCCUUCUGGAGGGGCUUCGAGCGAAGAGGGUUUGUAGAAGGCCCCCUCUCCUGCCACUUCUUCGAUUCCGACAGGUUCCGCGACUGCUAUGGACUCCCGUGCUGCCAGAUGCUGCGCAGGGCCGCCUACCGCCGCUCCGCCCAGCUGCGCCACGACGAGUGGCUACGGGUUCCGGAGGAUAGACCGUAUCAGUGGCUAUUCCUAUAUAGGUGUGCUCACUAACGUCUCCCCGACGCCCACCUCGUUUGGUAGUACAGGUUCUAGUACUGUGCCUUAGGAUGAAUACAGUGACGACUGAGUGAACGUUAACUCCGUAACGUUUUCUACCAAGUUCCAUUUAAAUCUGUGGAGGGUCAACACCUUUUACCACUCCAAUACCGAUACGAUCUGUAACGUUUUACGGAAAUACUACGAUAUCGUUCUAACCUUUUCCGUCGACUUGUUCCCUCACGAUAUCGUCGACGUCAUCUCCCCCAACUCGCAGUUGACCCUCCGUUGAAAUGUCGAGGAAUACGAAAGUAUCUUUGAGAUUCUCUCGCCUACAAGUUUGGAAGAGACAGUUGGUAACAGUGCCUCCCGUGUUUCCAUCGUUAACAAAGGGGAAGUCUAGGACACAUACACCGCUGUGUCUUUUACGCACUCAAAGCUCAAUUAAGUCACUAACAGUGAUGUCCCUUGUGUCACGUCCCCUAGAAAUGGAGUUUUCUACAAGAAUACGCACAACACAGUGUCUUAGAAAGGGGUCUUAACUGGAAUCAUCUUUUCCACUACUGACGUUUGGGACUAACACGAUGCAAUCUGUGCUGUUAAGAACUACGCGAUGUAUAUUACGUACUACCGUUUAAGAACGUGUAAGGACAAGACCUGUCUCUCCCGGUUUAACGACGAACGGAGCUACAGGACGUUGAAUGGGUACGUCGGUAAGUUAACCAACUUCCCCCGUUACCCUGACGAUUACUGUACCGUUUGAGUCAUUACGUCUCCAAGACCCUGAGACGCGAACGAAAUCUUGGAGGUCUACUGCUUGAACUAUCGGCAUCGCUUCGUAGGAAUGAAUACCGCAGUCUUCGGCCCCUACCCGCCUCAUCAUAUAUAGGGGGAUAGUAACCAUUAAGCAAAGGGAAAUUCGAAGUUCUGGCCUUCCCUGCGCACGUAUCUAAGUGGACACCGAGUCUCUCGAAUUUGCUCGAACACAGGAGACAUUCCGUUUCUAACUCAUAAUAACUACUUUUCCUGUAGUAAGUUUAGAACAUGCUUCUACUACUCCCACUGGCCCACGACGACUGUUGCCUAUGACUAGAACGACCGCGGCACGAGGUACGGUUUAGUAGGCCAAACUUCCAAGAGUUCAACGUAUAGCACCUGCUCAGAUUAGGUUUGUGUCUCCACCAUUUUGGUAAUGUCCUCGAUCGUGGAGUGUCGUCCUUACCACGCAGAAGACAAUUUUAGCCCGAGUACCGACCACGUCAACGAGAGUCACCGCGCCGUCAGUACCACAUGAACUUUGCUAGGUCCCACACUAAUGGUCUACUUAGUUAUUAAAGGAUUUGGGCGCAGAGUUGUCGACUGUAGGUAGGUGAAAUCUUAGAUAACAAUAGAACCAUAGUAACGUAUGAUUCUUUUCUUUCUUACUCCGUGUACUCCAGUGUACAAAGGUCAGACAGUCCAUUAACUUUUCAGCUUGUCGUCCGCCAUCCUCGACGGAUUAUAAACAGGGAGGUGUAAAACGUGUUUGUAGUCACUAAAGUACCGAUGUUACUUUGCAUAUUUGUAUUCGCAAAUACGAUCAAGUAUGAAAACGUGAAAAAACAUCUAUUUGUCUCCUACAUUUUACUAAAACCUCGUAUUGUAAUUCACCUGAUAAGAGACGGUCACAGGAUGUUUUUAGUUUACAUUUGUUAACCCAUUACGUGUGACAGUUUGUAUGAUGAGUCCGACUGUUUAUUACGGGUAAUAAUAAACUAGGACACGGGAGAGUUCUAGAAUAGACGGGUCAUCUCAUCCACCCGGGAUCAAUAUAGGGAAACAUAUACACUACCUAACUAUUACUUCAGUACUAAUCAUUUUUUCCUAACCCAACCACACACCUAGUUCAAUACCAACGACCGACGUGUACAAUCACCAAUGGAUAGGGAAAACAACUCCACCAACCAUCAAAGAAUUGGAGGGAUCCACCGAAACUCACCUUACCUCGCUAGAUCACGAGGAGAAGGUUGAUAGCGUUUGAACGAAAACAUCGAACUUUCUGUCACAAACCUAAUCCGUUACUAUAGGUUG